rnacentral:lncRNA from 1 species
UUGCUAUUCUUUUACCCUUCUUGGUCAUAGCGAUGUAGUGGAAACUACAAGCUUCAUGUGUUUAAACUUUGUCAGAGAUCUUUGGUAAAGUUAUCUGUAGUACCCAUGAGCUGAUGUUGCAUGUGGAAAAUGGAUGAUUGAACAGUAAGAUUCACGUGCUUUCUACUUCACCAGAAAUCUUCGACAGAAUGCCUGUAAUUUCCGCAAAGCUGAGUGUGCAUGUGACAGGUGCUGACAAGGCUGAAAAAGCAGGUGCCUCUUCGAUUUCUGAGAUCGGCCCUCGUGGUCUCUGAGCAGCCCAGCUUUUGAGAAAGCAAGCGCCUCUUCGAUUUCUGAGAUCGGCAUUCGUGGUCUUUGAGCAGCCCAGCUUUUAAGAAAGCAAACGCGUCUUUGAUUUCUGAGAUCGGCCCUCGUGGUCUCUAAGCAGCCUAG